rnacentral:rRNA from 1 species
AUACGAAGGGUGCAAGCGUUACUCGGAAUUACUGGGCGUAAAGCGUGCGUAGGUGGUUGUUUAAGUCUGUCGUGAAAGCCCUGGGCUCAACCUGGGAACUGCGAUGGAAACUGGGCAACUAGAGUGUGGUAGAGGGUAGCGGAAUUCCUGGUGUAGCAGUGAAAUGCGUAGAUAUCAGGAGGAACAUCCAUGGCGAAGGCAGCUACCUGGGCCAACACUGACACUGAGGCACGAAAGCGUGGGGAGCAAACAGGAUUAGAUACCCUGGUAGUCCACGCCCUAAACGAUGCGAACUGGAUGUUGGGUGCACUUUGGCACGCAGUAUCGAAGCUAACGCGUUAAGUUCGCCGCCUGGGGAGUACGGUCGCAAGACUGAAACUCAAAGGAAUUGACGGGG